rnacentral:rRNA from 1 species
GAUGAACGCUGGCGGCGUGCCUAAUACAUGCAAGUCGAGCGAACAGACGAGGAGCUUGCUCCUCUGACGUUAGCGGCGGACGGGUGAGUAACACGUGUAUAACCUACCUAUAAGACUGGGAUAACUUCGGGACACCGGAGAUUAUACCGGAUGAUAUAUUGCACCGCAUGGUUCAAUAGUGAAAGACGGUUUUGCUGUCACUUAUAGCUGGAUCCGCGCCGCAUUAGCUAGUUGGUAAGGUCACGGCUUAUCAAGGCAACGAGGCGUAGCCGACCUGAGAGGGUGAUAGGCCGCACGGGAACGGAGACACGGUCCAGACUCCUAAGGGAGGGAGCAGUAGGGAAUCUUACGCAAUGGGCGAAAGCCUGACGGAGCAACGCCGCGUGAGUGAUGAAGGUCUUCGGAUCGUAAAACUCUGUUAUUAGGGAAGAACAAAUGUGUAAGUAACUAUGCACGUCUUGACGGUACCUAAUCAGAAAGCCACGGCUAACUACGUG